CUUGGCAUGCACUAGUUAUCACAUAAUUGGGGAUUUCAUGCAUAACAUACUAAAGAGGGCACUAUUCUCUUUACUUAAGCAUUCUAUCAAACAUAUGGGGAGCAUGCUUUGGUUAUACCACAGAUUCUAUACUUAAUUAUCAUGAAUACAUCAAUAUCAUGCAUCUUGAAGAGGGUUUAUCAUGAACAUCAUACAAUUUAUCACAUACUAGAAUCAACUCUUGAAAUUGGUAGUCUAAAUCAUGAAUUAAAACUCAAUAAUAACAUGAACUUCAAUUUUAAUUCACAUG
rnacentral:lncRNA from 1 species